CUUGACCGAACCCAGCAACAGCGGCGGCCCGUCCUCGGGCCUGCCCUGUCCGUAGGUGGCCAGCAGGGCCUGUGCCUC
rnacentral:antisense_RNA from 1 species